rnacentral:rRNA from 1 species
ACGGAAGGCAGCAGUGGGGAAUAUUGGGCAAUGGGCGCAAGCCUGACCCAGCAACGCCGCGUGAAGGAUGAAGGUCUUCGGAUUGUAAACUUCUUUAAUCGGGGAAGAAAAAAAUGACCUACCCGAAGAAUAAGCCAAGGCUAACUACGUGCCAGCAGCCGCGGUAAUACGUAGGUGGCAAGCGUUAUCCGGAUUUAAUGGGGGUAAAGGGCGUGUAGGCGGCUCUGCAAGUCAGAAGUGAAAUUCCCGGGCUCAACCCUGGCGCUGCUUCUGAAACUGCAGAACUUGAGUACUGGAGGGGAAAGCGGAAUUCCUAGUGUAGCGGUAAAAUGCGCAGAUAUUAGGAGGAACACCAGUGGCGAAGGCGACUUUCUGGACGAUAACUGACGUUGAGGCACGAAAGUGUGGGGAGCAAACAGGAUUAGAUACCCUGGUA